rnacentral:rRNA from 1 species
GAUGAACGCUGGCGGCGUGCUUAACACAUGCAAGUCGGACGGAAAGGCCCAAGCUUGCUUGGGUACUCGAGUGGCGAACGGGUGAGUAACACGUGGGUGAUCUGCCCUGCACUUCGGGAUAAGCCUGGGAAACUGGGUCUAAUACCGGAUAGGACGAUGGUUUGGAUGCCAUUGUGGAAAGUUUUUUCGGUGUGGGAUGAGCUCGCGGCCUAUCAGCUUGUUGGUGGGGUAAUGGCCUACCAAGGCGUCGACGGGUAGCCGGCCUGAGAGGGUGUACGGCCACAUUGGGACUGAGAUACGGCCCAGACUCCUACGGGAGGCAGCAGUGGGGAAUAUUGCACAAUGGGCGCAAGCCUGAUGCAGCGACGCCGCGUGGGGGAUGACGGCCUUCGGGUUGUAAACUCCUUUCGCUAGGGACGAAGCGUUUUUGUGACGGUACCUGGAGAAGAAGCACCGGCUAACUACGUG